rnacentral:tRNA from 1 species
GGGAGUGUAGCUCAGAGGUGGAGUAUUUGCCUAGAAUGCAGAAUACUGUAGUUUCAAGUUUCUAUCCCUAUCA